ACCCUCCAGUUUUCUUACCUAUCAGAUAUAAUAACUGGUCUGAGUGGUUAUAAAGGGGGCGUGGGGGGAAGCAAAAUUGAAACUGAUUUCAGUGCUUUUGUGGCACAUGAUCUAGUUUCAAACAACU
rnacentral:snoRNA from 1 species